rnacentral:rRNA from 1 species
AUAUGUUUGUUAGCCAUUCUUAUAACGCGCCCGAUCUCGUCUGAUCUUGGAAGCUAAGCAGGGUCGGGCCUGGUUAGUACUUGGAUGGGAGUCCAUUUUAUAUUUGAUUGCACCUAUU